rnacentral:rRNA from 1 species
UAGGGAAUCUUCCACAAUGGACGCAAGUCUGAUGGAGCAACGCCGCGUGAGUGAAGAAGGGUUUCGGCUCGUAAAGCUCUGUUGGUAGUGAAGAAAGAUAGAGGUAGUAACUGGCCUUUAUUUGACGGUAAUUACCUAGAAAGUCACGGCUAACUACGUGCCAGCAGCCGCGGUAAUACGUAGGUGGCAAGCGUUGUCCGGAUUUAUUGGGCGUAAAGCGAGUGCAGGCGGUUCAAUAAGUCUGAUGUGAAAGCCUUCGGCUCAACCGGAGAAUUGCAUCAGAAACUGUUGAACUUGAGUGCAGAAGAGGAGAGUGGAACUCCAUGUGUAGCGGUGGAAUGCGUAGAUAUAUGGAAGAACACCAGUGGCGAAGGCGGCUCUCUGGUCUGCAACUGACGCUGAGGCUCGAAAGCAUGGGUAGCGAACAGG